CGUUGCCCAUAUGAAUGAAAUUCUCAUCACAGAGCAGCUGAUUAUUAUUAUUAAGUUCUUCAUCUUCAGCUUCAUCACAUCAGCUGUGCAACUAAUUGACAUUUUUACAGGAGCUCAUUUGGCAAAUAUUCUUGGUGAUGAUUCCUCAUUGUAUUCAGAGGGACUUGUGUGGCACAGUAUUGUGCACAGUAUUACAUGUGUGCAGUUUUUUUUGUUUAAAACGUUCAAAAAUGACCUAGACAUAUCAACAGAUUGUGAAGACACACCCGUUUUGACCUAGUGCCCACUAAAAUAUAACCACUAAAAUUAGUAUGCAAUCCAGCUAGUGUUGUAGUCUCUUGUAAUACCACUUUGCACCAUAUGUAGUGCUACAAUAUAUUAAAUACAGUGCUAGUCAACAGAGGAAUGAAUGUGGCUGUGGUGACGAUAACUAGAUCUUACAGAAUAGCACAAGCUGUCGUCUGCAAAGAAAGGUGAAUGUAAGUUUUUAUAGUCUUAGUAAGAUUAAUAAGUCAUUUUCAUGGCCGCCAGCCUGGCUGACACCAGAUCGCUGCUCAAAUCUCAAUUGAGAUCAGAAUGGGUCAUGGGACAUCCUAAUCCCACCUCCUAAUUAAAGCGUGAAAGGAAACGAGGACAGAAUGCAACAAGAAUGGAGGAGUCAAGGACAGACAGACAUGAGAAAUGCAGUAAGGGUCAGAUCUCUGUUACCAGAUGAGAUGAGGAACAAGUGGCGAGAGAAGAGUGGUGCAUCCUACGCAUCUUUAGUCAGAAUGUGCGAUCAUUGGGCCAAGAUUACCUGCCCAAUCAGCAACAAGAGGGGAUCGAAAGUGGCAGUGGUAAGUGGUGGUAGCAACACCUGCAAACAUCAAAAAUUGCAAUCGGAAUAGUGUGUACAUUUAUUCACAGCAAAGGUAGGCCAACAUACAUUGUUUCCUGACUGCCAAUUAUGUUUAUUGUCUGUUUGUAAAGUUUAGGCGAAGAUGGAAGAAUCCC